AGGCGGAGAGACUUCACGGCCGUGUCGGUGUUCGGGAAGUAGGCCGGGAUGCCGUUGGAGCACUCCUUGAAGGUGUCGUCAUCCAAUGCCAUCCCUUUGUUCCCGGCCAUGGUGACCGAGCCAAGGUCCAGGCUGCUAGUGCAC
rnacentral:snRNA from 14 species